UCUGGAACAAUUUGCCCGAAGAAAUGAGGUUGUCUGAUCUGUCAUGUUCUCUCCAGCCACUCCCCUUCACUAUGCACUCCCUCACCUGAGCACUGAUUCCAUGCACCUGUCACCUAUCACACACCUGCACUUCAGUCACUCUACUCCCCGAUAGAACGCUAGUUCCCCUGAAUCAUUAAACGCCUAGGACUCCCUUUUCCUGAGCAGACUACCACCAGUACCCAGUACCUCUUCUCUGGCUCCUUCGUGCUCCUGUUCUCCGUGUGUGGCACUCCAGCUCCUGGUCCCGUGUGUCUCUCGUCUUCCGUGUGUAUCACUCCAGUCUCCUGGCCCGUGUGGACCGGCUCCUCUGUGCUCCGCCACUCGACUCCAGAACUCUGCCACAUCCAUUCAAAGGACAGUAUACUUCCUUCCAUUCACUAUCGACGUACUUGUGCUUCAAUAAACUAUAUCAUACCCUU